rnacentral:lncRNA from 1 species
CGUGUUUCUCUACUUCCUUCCAGCUUUGCCUUUUGGUCUGGACGAGGUGUUCAAGACACUGUCUCAACGUUGUUCCUCAGGUAACAGUGUUCUGAACCAUGUCUUUGUUGGCUCUUGGUUGGUUUCUAACACAGUUUGGUCCUAACAGGUGCACGAGUAGUAAUCAGUCACCCGCAAGGUAGAGAGGGCUUGAAGCAGCAAAGGAAGGAGUUUUCAGACGUUGUUGUCUCUGAUUUACCUGAUGACUCCACCUUGAAGAGUGUUGCUAAGAAGCAUUCGUUUGAGUUAACGGAGUUUGUUGAUGAACAAGGACUUUACCUUGCUGUACUUACCUUCUCCAAACAAUAGAUUAUCAUGUUUCCUGUCUGUCUUUGUAAUGAAAC